rnacentral:rRNA from 1 species
UGCAAGUCGAACGCUGAAGCACCAGCUUGCUGGUGUGGAUGAGUGGCGAACGGGUGAGUAAUACGUGAGUAACCUGCCCUUGACUCUGGGAUAAGCCCGGGAAACUGGGUCUAAUACUGGAUGCUACAUGUCACCGCAUGGUGGUGUGUGGAAAGGGUUUACUGGUCUUGGAUGGGCUCACGGCCUAUCAGCUUGUUGGUGAGGUAAUGGCUCACCAAGGCGACGACGGGUAGCCGGCCUGAGAGGGUGACCGGCCACACUGGGACUGAGACACGGCCCAGACUCCUACGGGAGGCAGCAGUGGGGAAUAUUGCACAAUGGGCGAAAGCCUGAUGCAGCGACGCCGCGUGAGGGAUGACGGCCUUCGGGUUGUAAACCUCUUUCAGCAGGGAAGAAGCCACAAGUGACGGUACCUGCAGAAGAAGCGCCGGCUAACUACGUGCCAGCAGCCGCGGUAAUACGUAGGGCGCAAGCGUUGUCCGGAAUUAUUGGGCGUAAAGAGCUCGUAGGCGGUUUGUCGCGUCUGCUGUGAAAGCCCGGGGCUUAACCCCGGGUGUGCAGUGGGUACGGGCAGACUAGAGUGCAGUAGGGGAGACUGGAAUUCCUGGUGUAGCGGUGGAAUGCGCAGAUAUCAGGAGGAACACCGAUGGCGAAGGCAGGUCUCUGGGCUGUUACUGACGCUGAGGAGCGAAAGCAUGGGGAGCGAACAGGAUUAGAUACCCUGGUAGUCCAUGCCGUAAACGUUGGGCACUAGGUGUGGGGGACAUUCCACGUUUUCCGCGCCGUAGCUAACGCAUUAAGUGCCCCGCCUGGGGAGUACGGCCGCAAGGCUAAAACUCAAAGGAAUUGACGGGGGCCCGCACAAGCGGCGGAGCAUGCGGAUUAAUUCGAUGCAAC